rnacentral:rRNA from 1 species
UCGGGAAUAUUGCGCAAUGGAGGAAACUCUGACGCAGCGACGCCGCGUGGGUGAUGAAGGCUUUCGGGUCGUAAAGCCCUGUCGAGUGGGACGAAAGACGAUGUGGCUAAUAUCCACGUCGAGUGACGGUACCACUAAAGGAAGCACCGGCUAACUACGUGCCAGCAGCCGCGGUAAUACGUAGGGUGCAAGCGUUGCUCGGAAUCAUUGGGCGUAAAGCGGGUGUAGGCGGACUUAUAAGUCAGGUGUGAAAUCCCAGGGCUCAACCCUGGAAGUGCACUUGAUACUGCAAGUCUUGAGUGUGGUAGAGGCUAUUAGAAUUCCUGGUGUAGUGGUGAAAUACGUAGAUAUCAGGAGGAAUACCGGAGGCGAAGGCGGAUAGCUGGGCCAACACUGACGCUGAGACCCGAAAGCGUGGGGAUCAGACAGGAUUAGAUACCCGCGUAGUCCCUGAGCGGGCUGGCAAGGCGCAU